UACGUAGGGUGCGAGCGUUGUCCGGAAUUAUUGGGCGUAAAGAGCUUGUAGGCGGUUUGUCGCGUCUGCUGUGAAAAUCCGGGGGCUCAACCCCGGACUUGCAGUGGGUACGGGCAGACUAGAGUGUGGUAGGGGGAGACUGGAAUUCCUGGUGUAGCGGUGAAAUGCGCAGAUAUCAGGAGGAACACCGAUGGCGAAGGCAGGUCUCGUGGGCCACUACUGACGCUGAGAAGCGAAAGCAUGGGGAGCGAACGGG
rnacentral:rRNA from 1 species